UCCAGACUCCUACGGGAGGCAGCAGUGGGGAAUAUUGCACAAUGGGGGAAACCCUGAUGCAGCGACGCCGCGUGAGCGAUGAAGUAUUUCGGUAUGUAAAGCUCUGUCAGCAGGGAAGAAGAAAGACGGUACCUGACCAAGAAGCCCCGGCUAACUACGUGCCAGCAGCCGCGGUAAUACGUAGGGGGCAAGCGUUAUCCGGAUUUACUGGGUGUAAAGGGAGCGUAGACGGCAUGGCAAGUCAGAUGUGAAAGCCCGGGGCUCAACCCCGGGACUGCAUUUGAAACUGUCAGGCUGGAGUGCAGGAGAGGUAAGUGGAAUUCCUAGUGUAGCGGUGAAAUGCGUAGAUAUUAGGAGGAACACCAGUGGCGAAGGCGGCUUACUGGACUGUAACUGACGUUGAGGCUCGAAAGCGUGGGGAGCAAACAGGAUUAGAUACCCUGGUAA
rnacentral:rRNA from 1 species